GUAGGUGAACCUGCGGAAGGAUCAUUAACACGUUUUCAACGUUAUGUGACUCUCCCUUAUUUUCCGUGCACAACAGGCCUCCUGACACUUUCCUCUCAGCUUGCUCUGUCUGCUGAUCGUGUCGGGCGUCUUUGGGGUUCAUAGGAGUCUCUUUUUUGUACUGAUGGCUGCUUCACUGCAACUAGAUGAACAAUAGUUUGACUGCUCCUGAAGGCGUUGCCAAACAACCCAAAAACCCCUUAAAUCUAAUUGCUCUGAACUCUUUAGUUGGUACGGCCUCACCGCCUGUCUAACGAUUUAAAAACAAACAACAACUCUUAACAACGGAUAUCUUGGUUCUC
rnacentral:misc_RNA from 1 species